rnacentral:rRNA from 1 species
UUCGAUUAAGCCAUGCGAGUCGCGAGUCUUAGGGACUCGGCGUACCGCUCAGUAACACGUGGGUAACCUGCCCUAUGCUGGGGAAUAACCUCGGGAAACUGAGAAUAAUGCCCCAUAGUUCACCACGCCUGGAACGGUGGGUGGAUCAAAGCUCCGGCGGCAUAGGAUGGGCCUGCGGCGUAUCAGGUCGUAGGGGGUGUAAUGUACCCUCUAGCCAUCGACGCGUACGGGUGUUGGGAGACAUUGCCCGGAGAUGGAUUCUGAGACACGAAUCCAGACCCUACGGGGUGCAGCAGGCGCGAAAACUUGGCAAUGCGAGAAAUCGUGACCAGGGAACUCCAAGUGCAUCGGGUAAGACCGAUGCUUUUCUUGACUCUUCAACGGUCUUGGAAUAAGGGGUGGGUAAGGACGGUGCCAGCCGCCGCGGUAAUACCGGCGCCUCAAGUGGUAGUCGCUUUUAUUGGGCCUAAAACGUCCGUAGCCGGUUUGGUACAUUCGUGGGUAAAUCAAGGCGCUCAACGUCUUGAAUUCUGCGAGCACGGCCAGACUUGGGACCGGGUGAGUGUGGGGUACUCUCAGGGUAGGGGUAAAAUCCUGUCAUCCUGAGAGGACCACCUGUUGCGAAGGCGCCACACUAGAACGGAUCCGACGGUCAGGGACGAAGCCUAGGGGCACGAACCGGAUUAGAUACCCGGGUAGUCCUAGGUGUAAACGCUGUGGACUUGAUGUUGGGAGUGCUCCGAGCACCCUCAGUGUCGAAGCGAAGGUGAUAAGUCCACUGCCUGGGGAGUACGGUCGCAAGGCUGAAACUUAAAGGAAUUGGCGGGGGAGCACUGCAACCUGAGGAUUGUGCG